UACGGGGGGGGCAAGCGUUGUUCGGAAUUACUGGGCGUAAAGGGCUCGUAGGCGGCCAACUAAGUCAGACGUGAAAUCCCUCGGCUUAACCGGGGAACUGCGUCUGAUACUGGAUGGCUUGAGAUUGGGAGAGGGAUGCGGAAUUCCAGGUGUAGCGGUGAAAUGCGUAGAUAUCUGGAAGAACACCAAUGGCGAAGGCAGCUCUCUGGGACGGUACUGACGCUGAGACGCGAAAGCGUGGGAGCGAACAGG
rnacentral:rRNA from 1 species